ACCCACUCCAGUGUUCUUGCCUGGAGAAUCCCAGGGACAGGAGGCUGGUGGGCUGCCGUCUACGGGGUCACACAGAGUCGGACACGACUGACGUGACUUAGCAGCAGCAGCACUUUAUAUACACCAUCUUCAGUCACAUGGGACGUGGGUUCAGUCCCUUGUCGGGGAACGAAGAUCCCACAGGCUUUGGAGCAACUAAGCCCACGUACAACUCCUGAACCCACAUGCCACACUAGAGAGUCCAUGCGACACAGCGAAAGAUCCCGCACAACACAGUGAAGACCCGGAAUGCCGCAACCAAGACCCCAUGCAGCCAGAUAAAUAUUUUAUAAAAAAGAAAAAAAAAAAAGAAAAAGGAAAAUUCUUUGAACCCAAUAAAGUCCUGGAUAAACA